rnacentral:rRNA from 1 species
CCCUUAGAUGUCCUGGGCCGCACGCGCGUUACACUGAUGCAUUCAACGAGCUUAUAACCUUGGCCGAGAGGCCUGGGCAAUCUUGUUAACGUGCAUCGUGAUAGGGAUAGAUUAUUGAAAUUAUUAAUCUUGAACGAGGAAUUCCUAGUAAACGCAAAUCAUCAAUUUGCAUUGAUUACGUCCCUGCCCUUUGUACACACCGCCCGUCGCACCUACCGAUUGAAUGGUCCGGUGAAGCCUCGGGAUUGUGGCCAGUUCACUUUAUUGGGAGUUGGCUGCGAGAACUUGUCUAAACCUUAUCAUUUAGAGGAAGGUGAAGUCGUAACA